AGGAAUCAACCACACUCUUCUUUGGAUUUGGGCUCUGUCAUUUCCUGGUUCUCAGAUCUCAGCAACAGCCACGGCACUGAUAGGGUAUUCCAGAAGUGGAAAGGCUCCAGGAUUGUGUAAUGGCCUCUACACGGGAAACAAAACCAGUGCUGCUGAUAAAAUGGCCUGACAGAGGCUCAGUCACUAUCCAGCCCUCCAGCCCACUACAAGUGUUUUUCCAAAUCGAGCUGCAGCAACGUGAGGCCAGAUCUAACACCAAUCUGACUGAAAGAAUUCACACAGGGCCUGAGCAAACCAUUUCCCCACAUUACAGUUGAGAAUCUGAGCCAACCAAUGCUACAGGACAUGUCCUUUGAAUAGCACUAUUCUCCCAGGUCCAUGGUGCUCAGUGAUGGACAAAGAUGUGACUUGGUCCUUCUCCUUCUUCAUGACAAGUACCCAGCCUAGUACUCAAUCUGUGCCCCAGUGCUGAC
ensembl:lncRNA